rnacentral:lncRNA from 1 species
GGGGGGGGGAGGUAGGGAUCAUCUUUUCAUGCCUCAACGAUGGAGUUCUGCUGGCUGAGCUCAUAGCAGCAUCUGCAGUGGAAACAGUUAAUAUUUGUGUUUAAAAAAAAAAAAACAACACAUGAACAUGAGACUAAGGUAGAACGUUUAAAAAUAACUGUUCUUGAUGUUGCUACAGAGACCUUUAUUAUAGCCAUAGUACGUGAUGUGCAUUGAUUACAUUCCACAUAAGUAGCGUUUUCUCGCUCAGACUAGUAGGAACUGACAGUACUCCCACUUGUAUGAGACAGUAUGAAGAAGCAUGCAGGCUGUGGCAGAAAGGAGGUGUGCUUGGCUUUUCAACUCUUAAAAACUAAAAUCAAUACAGGCACAGGAAGUCGGUUGUAAAACCCUGUUACCAGGGAGGAACGGAAACAAGACGCUAUCUCAGAGCUACAGUUCCUAAGAGGAGGAUCUUGUUUCAUGACAUAAUAAAAGCCAGGGUCUGGUGAGAUAGCAACAGAAUCCCUAAUUAAGAGACAGGAUACUCUAAGCUUGAACAUGAGCCUCUUGAAAACCAGACCAGACAGCUGUAGUGCUCUCUCGAUGGUAGAACCCUCAGGACAGUUGAAAGGAAGGGAUGUACCACAGCAAUCUGUCAUCAGUGCAACUUCCAGCAAUCUUUGUAGCUAACAGAUCACAGUGGAUUUUCUUUCUCCUCAUGAAUUUACCUAAUCACUUUCUAAAUCCUGUUUCAUGCAGUACUGUGAGAAUGAUAAUCUAAUUUUGGUCUCUAAGACAUGAAAUACAAAAACAAUAGGAGGCCCAGGAAAGAAUGAAGCCAUUUUGCCAACAGAUAUUACAAAAACAUGCAACAAUUAUAGCACAUUGACGAAGAAAAUUACUAAAACCGCUAAUUACAAAAUAACCCAGCAUUUCCUGCUGUGAAAAUGAAUUUGUUAUUUAGACCACUUCACUGUUUUUGAUAAAUCACCACCUGUAAUUGCUUUUCUAAGCUCGUGAUAGGGGUAUUUCUCUAUUUGGUGCCAUGAUGUCAAAUUGAAAGAGUACCUUUUCGACUGGUCGCAUUGUCUAGGGUUAAAUAGAAAACCUUUCCAAACUCUUCUUCACUCCAAGAUUUUUGUAUCAGUCAUGGAUGAGAAGAAAAAAGACAAAUGUCACCACUCUUUGCCUAGCUGUGAGAAAUUCACUGCCUGUGAAGUUAUGCUACUUGUUCUCUGCUACAAUACUAACUUUCAUGUAUUUUGCAAUCCCUGUCUAUCUCUGUUGUAAUUUCUUGCAAAGUGUUGAAAAUGUAAAGCUCUACACUCACAAUUGCCCCACAAUCUGAUUUACAAACUAAAAGAAUAUACCUGGGCUUUUCUGAGUAUUUUUCUUGCUUACAUAUAGGUGAGAUAUUCCCUUUAACAAAUAAUCCUCAUAUUAAAAAAAAAACAAGAACCAACCACGCAUACCAGGUCUAACUUAUGCAUGUGCAGCAUCCUAUUUAAUAAUUUACAGCUGUGCAAAGAACAAGCAGGUGAGUGUAUUCCAUACAGCUGCACAAAGCUCUGCGUAACCAGAGCGGAAACGGAAUGACUGCACGCACCUUUCUAUUUAUCCAGACCUCUAGAAAACGCAAACAGCAAAUUCUAAAGUGAAGCCAAAGCCAUGCAUGCCUCGAGGCCCUUUCCAGAUGGUAUGAAGACGAGCCCUUUUCCCUCCCUUUUACAUGACGUGAUUUUGCUUCCUCUCGGAUCAUCUCAGCCCUACUUACCGUUACACAACGUUUUUUGCACCCACGUUAACGUUAUUUGCUGCUAAUUCUGAUAUUCUGUCGUCAUCAGUGAAAAUGCUGAAACCCUCCCAGUUCUUGUUCAUGACGUGUCUCCGAGAUUACACAGCCCUCGAUAAAAAUGUCCCUGGGAAAGGAUAAAAGCGAUUACUGAGCUCAGUGCUUCAGACCCUUAAGCUGCCACCAGGUGCAUCAAAUGUGCCAGUUUUUCUCUUCUGCUUGCUUAACAGAGGAAAAAGCUCAAAUGAACGUUUAUCUGAUGUUCCUCCUGACCCCAAACUAAAGCUGUUAUUGCCUCUCUGAAUAUAUUAUUCCAUUCCUGUAAAGCCAUUUAGUUGCAAAUUCAACAUUUUCUUAUUGCAUAUGCCCACAUUAGCCAUGGUAAAGGCCUGUAACAGGGCAGAUGCAGUUCUGUCCCAAUGACCUCUCUGGUAUUUCUAUAGAAAUGCUCUGUUAAACACCCAGGCAUUUCAACUUCCAGUCACAAGACCUAUAAAAAAUUCAUACACCGAAUCUCUGGUUUCAAACCACAGCUCUGCAUCAUUAAGAGCUUUUCAAUCCUCCCACCCCACAGACGUUAUGAAGAAGGGGGGAGGGCGGCUCUACCUUCCCAGUGCUUAACCCUCACAUCUUCUGCUCCUCCUGCCUGCAAUUUUAACCAGCUCUGGGUGGAGGCUGGCAAACACGUGUGAGCUGCAGAGCACACAACCAGGCUGAUAUCCCAUCACCCCCAACAGAGCUUAAGAACGUGUUCGCAUUUUGAGAUCUGCCCCAAACUUCUCAGCGGGAAGCAGCAAAGGGGCUUCUAAGGAACCCCGGCACCUCCGUGCAUCUCUUGCUCUUUCCAGAGGGCUUUCACUCAGAACCCACCAGCCGG